rnacentral:rRNA from 1 species
CCUACGGGAGGCAGCAGUGGGGAAUAUUGGGCAAUGGGCGCACGCCUGACCCAGCAACGCCGCGUGAAGGAAGAAGGCUUUCGGGUUGUAAACUUCUUUUCUCAGGGACGAAGAAAGUGACGGUACCUGAAGAAUAAGCCACGGCUAACUACGUGCCAGCAGCCGCGGUAAUACGUAGGUAGCAAGCGUUAUCCGGAUUUAUUGGGUGUAAAGGGCGUGUAGGCGGGAGCGCAAGUCAGAUGUGAAAACUCAGGGCUCAACCCUGAGCCUGCAUUUGAAACUGUGUUUCUUGAGUGCUGGAGAGGCAAUCGGAAUUCCGUGUGUAGCGGUGAAAUGCGUAGAUAUACGGAGGAACACCAGUGGCGAAGGCGGAUUGCUGGACAGUAACUGACGCUGAGGCGCGAAAGCGUGGGGAGCAAACAGGAUUAGAUACCCCAGUAGUC